rnacentral:rRNA from 1 species
UGGGGAAUUUUGCGCAAUGGGCGAAAGCCUGACGCAGCAACGCCGCGUGAGUGAUGAAGGCUUUCGGGUCGUAAAGCUCUGUCGAGGGGAAAGAAGUGUAUUUUGGCUAAUAUCCUUAAUACUUGACGGUACCCCUAAAGGAAGCACCGGCUAACUCCGUGCCAGCAGCCGCGGUAAUACGGGGGGUGCAAGCGUUGUUCGGAAUUAUUGGGCGUAAAGCGCGUGUAGGCGGUCUGAUUAGUCUGAUGUGAAAGCCCUGGGCUCAACCCAGGAAGUGCAUUGGAUACUGUCAGACUUGAAUACGGGAGAGGGUAGUGGAAUUCCUAGUGUAGGAGUGAAAUCCGUAGAUAUUAGGAGGAACACCGGUGGCGAAGGCGGCUACCUGGACCGAUAUUGACGCUGAGACGCGAAAGCGUGGGUAGCAAACAGG